rnacentral:misc_RNA from 1 species
UCGAAUCCAAAGGGAUGUUGCUGGCCUCUCAGGCCGUGCACUCCCGCCUUUAUAUUCACCUGUGCACUUACUGUAGACUAGGAUUGAUUUCCAGGUCUAUGUCUUCAUAUACCCCUUUAUUAUUGAAGUCAAUGGAAUGUGUUUAGGCUUCGGCCAAAAAAACAAUA